CCCGAGCCCUACUGCAAAGGCUAGAGGCAACAGCGGAAGUACAGAUGUUCCUGACUGGUGAUGGGGAGCCCAUCCUAAGUUGAAAAUGCAUUUAAUACACCUAACCUACCUAACAUCAUCGCUUAAGUGUGCUCAGAACACUUACAGUAGCCUACAGUUCGGCAAAAUCAUCUAACACAAAACCUAUUUUAUAAUGAAGUGUUGAAUAGCUCAUGUAAUUUAUUGACUACUGUACUGAAAGUGAAGAAUGGAAUGGUUUUAUGGGUACAGAAUGGUUAAUAAAUAUGCAGCAGCUGUUUCUCCAUCUUACAGUGCAGAGGGUCUCUCAAAUUAAGGACCCUCCAAUCCACUCUUCCCGCUGUCAUCGCCUUUUUACAUAUGGAGGAGACAGCAGAUAGAUCACCAAAUUCCCAGUGGACUUUGAGGACCAUGAGCUUAGCUUGGAGCCUGGCUUGCCAUGACCCCUUGGCACUGAUGCAGCCUGUCCCUGAAAGCCUAGGCUAAGAUGGACAGAAAAACCACGCAUGUUAGAUCAACAAAGAAUAACAAAAGAUGCCAUUUGCAGUCCAGGCGAGCUGGUGACAGGGCCAUGCAAACAGGAGGUUCCAUCUCACUUCCCGGAGAAGCGUUGCCUGGCUGCCUAGGCCAGGGGCUGGAGCCUCUCU
rnacentral:lncRNA from 1 species